UGGCGAAUAUUGCACAAUGGGCGCAAGCCUGAUGCAGCCAUGCCGCGUGUGUGAAGAAGGCCUUCGGGUUGUAAAGCACUUUCAGCGGGGAGGAAGGCGUUAAGGUUAAUAACCUUGGCGAUUGACGUUACCCGCAGAAGAAGCACCGGCUAACUCCGUGCCAGCAGCCGCGGUAAUACGGAGGGUGCAAGCGUUAAUCGGAAUUACUGGGCGUAAAGCGCACGCAGGCGGUCUGUCAAGUCGGAUGUGAAAUCCCCGGGCUCAACCUGGGAACUGCAUUCGAAACUGGCAGGCUAGAGUCUUGUAGAGGGGGGUAGAAUUCCAGGUGUAGCGGUGAAAUGCGUAGAGAUCUGGAGGAAUACCGGUGGCGAAGGCGGCCCCCUGGACAAAGACUGACGCUCAGGUGCGAAAGCGUGGGGAGCAAACAGG
rnacentral:rRNA from 1 species